GAUGAAGAACGUAGCAAAAUGCGAUACUUGGUGUGAAUUGCAGAAUCCCGUGAACCAUCGAGUUUUUGAACGCAAGUUGCGCCCGAAGCCUUUUGGCCGAGGGCACGUCUGCCUGGGCGUCACGCAUCGCGUCGCCCCCCACAAUUCUCCGUAAAGGGAACAUGUGUUUUGGGGGCGGAUAUUGGUCUCCCGUGCUCAUGGCGUGGUUGGCCGAAAUAGGAGUCCUUUCGAUGGACGCACGAACUAGUGGUGGUCGUAAAAACCCUCGUCUUUUGUUUCGUGCUGUUGCUCGCGAGGUAAACUCUUUAAAAACCCCAAUGUGUCGUCUCUUGACGACGCUUCGACCGCGACCCCAGGUCAGGCGGGACUACCCGCUGAGUUUAAGCAUAUCAAUAAGCGGAGGA
rnacentral:misc_RNA from 1 species